UACGUAGGGCGCAAGCGUUGUCCGGAAUUAUUGGGCGUAAAGAGCUCGUAGGCGGUUUGUCGCGUCUGUCGUGAAAGCUUGGGGCUUAACCCCAAGUCUGCGGUGGAUACGGGCAGACUAGAGGCAGGUAGGGGAGAACGGAAUUCCCGGUGUAGCGGUGAAAUGCGCAGAUAUCGGGAGGAACACCAGUGGCGAAGGCGGUUGCCUGGAGCUUUGCUGACGCUGAUGCGCGAAAGCGUGGGGAGCGAUCCGG
rnacentral:rRNA from 1 species